GAAUUCAAGCGCCAAGUUGCGACGUGCGAAGGCGAAAUAGGUUCCUGCGCCUUUAAUUAGUUGUGGCGAAAAGGAAACUUCUUCGGCAAAAAGUCUGCGCGUCUGUUAAAGGUUCAGGAGCCUUUUUUCGUCUUUUGCUUCGGGGCCACCCUAGCCCUGAGGCGGCAAUCGUGUGCACGUUUAUGGAGGAGCAACUAGCAGCGCAAUUCUAUCGGGAUCUGCUCUGAAGUAAGACCCUUUGAGGCCAACAGGACUUGCAAAAUAAACUCUGUGGGACUUGCUGCUUCUGAGUCACCGUCCACAUAUCUGGACGGGAGCUGAAGCGCGCUGCGGGCAAAGGCAACCCGAGAGCGAUGGCUCUGGCUCUGGCUCGCGUCCAGAGAAAGGCUUCCUAUUGCCGCAGGAAGCUGGUUUGACCGCAUCCUUCCGCACAUGCUGUGUUAGCGUCGUAAUAAACGUUAUCAUGAUUUAGCUGAAACCCAUCCAAAACUCCUUGAGGAAACAUUAGGCAAGAGUAACUUGCCGUUAUUGGGCCCGAUCCAGGCAAAGCGGAACGUUUUUAAACGCCCGUUGAUUUCACCUGGAGAGAUUUAAAUAUGCACAUAGCUCUUCUGUUGACAUCAGUUGGAUUUACACGACCUUCACUUUGGGUGGGUGUGAGAUUGAAUUCCUUGCUAUUAUGUGUUCAGGGGUUGGUGGAGCAGGAGGGGGCGGUGUGAUCUGGGUCAGCAAGUUCCAUUCAUUUAUAAAACAAGAACUCUGUAUAGUGUAGAUUCUAUAUUAUAUCAUAGAACUAACAGUACACAGAAAAUAUCGUCACGCACCACCCCAGUCUCCGAGCCUGGGAGGCACCAGGGGUUCCAGUGUUUACUUGUGGUGUGGAUUCUUUGACUGUUUUGAUUUUAGGAUACAUGGUUUUAUUCACACAUAUAAGAAACUUGUGUAUAGGAUGGAGGGGCUCACAGCAUUAACAUCCCCACAGAUCUUGGUUCUGCUUUAGGUUUCCGGGGAGCCCUGAAGUCUAACAAGUGAAGAGCAAGACAUCUUUCUCUGUCUGCAGCUUUUAGCCUGCUUCCAGCCUACACACAACUAUGGCUAGUGUUCUGUCAAGUAGCAAGCUAGAUGAGCUGCUUGGGGAAAGGCCCACUCAUUAGUUGUAUGACAGAUAAUAGUUUUAUUGACUAUGAACCCCAAAAUUUGAUAUCUCCUCCAAACCGGUGCCAAAGUUUUGCAGUCGUUUUGCAGCAUUUUGCACUGGUUUGCAGGGGACCCCAAAUUUCUGUGUUCAUAAUUAGUGAAGCUGAACAGAAUUACUUACUUGGUUAUGCUAAAACCAACCAACCAGCCAAAGCCAUUACCUUGAUAAAGGAACUGGUUUGACAAGCUUCCUUUGCAUUCUACUGUCCUGGAUGCAGGAUCACAGGUUCUGGAAGGGAACCCAGGGUUCAUCCACACUGCCCACCCCCAGCUCAUAACAAUAGAAUAUAUUAUAUUAGAGGUCCUCCUCAAGGACAGUGAGCUUGGGGCUGAGGAAAUUCAAUAGUACCACCCCAUGCCACACUGCAAGCUCCUUUUGCAACUGAGGUGACUUUCCAAAGGAAUUUCUGGUGUGGAACGAAAUAUGUAGUGCUGUGUUUCACUUUUCAAAUUAAAACCAUUCUAGGCAUACUCAAGCCCUCCAGCAUUCCUAAAGUAGCUCAUUGGAUCACAGCCAGUGUAAACUCUAUUGGAUGCAGUCCCCAUAACAUUCAGUGAAAAUAAAGUUGGUUCUUUUUCUUCUUCUUUUUAAAGUGUUACUUGACUUAAGAGAGUUUUCUAUGAGGCUGGUUCUGGCCAGGACUUAAUGCGUGCCUAGAAUAUAGUUCCACAACCUGUUCUGCAUGUGGGACUUGUAAAUAUACAGAGUUCGUGCCCUUCACUACUGAGUAAUGGCCAGGCCUCAUGCACUUGAAAUUAGAGGACAGAACCAACCAUCCGCAGCAUUUGACUCCAGGGAGACUGAGCCCCACCAUCUCCUAUUUAAAAAUCAUGCACUACCUGCAGUUCCACUGCAGGCAGUGUUGUUUUUUUGCUUAGAGCUGGUGAGAGUAGUGGGAGCAUUUACUUUAUUUCUACUUUGGAUGGAUUGCACCCCACUGAGCCUGGCAGAGCCGAAAAGGUUUGUGAGUUGCUGACUAAGCACCUUUGGGGAAGUGAGCCUAUGAAGCCUAAAUGGGUAAUGGAUGUCAGCCUGUGUCUGGGUUGGUAAUUAAGCGUUAAGGCAUGCGCUUCCUUUAGUAAGAUGAAUGUGGUUUUUAAAAGUGUCUUGCUGAGGCAGAAAAUUUAUCGUCCAGUACACAUUUGCCCCAAUAUAAUUUAUCACUGUGCUCAUCACCAUAAUGCUACAGCAUUCCAUAGAUACUUUAGAUAGGCCAAAUAUUAUUCUGAGCUUUCACUGCUAGGCCGUAUUGCUGCGAUAAAAAUGAAUGUAUUGCCUAGAAUGUUGUUUCUGUUUCAAACAUUGCAAAUUUUGGACAAAAUGGAUUGCUUCAAGAAGUGGCAGAGAGAUAUCUCUAGAUUUGUCUGGCAGGGCAAGAAGCCUAGAAUAAAAUUUAAAAUACUAACGGAUGUAAAGGAAAGAGGUGGAUUUGCCCUGCCAGACCUUAAACUUUAUUACGAAUCAGCAGCUUUUUGCUGGCUGAAAGAAUGGCUGCUUCUUGAAAACACAGACAUUUUGGAUUUAGAAGGUUUUAAUAAUGUAUUUGGAUGGCAUGCAUAUUUGUGGUAUGAUAAGGUCAAAGCACAUAAAGCAUUUAAAAAUCAUAUUGUCAGGAAAGCAUUGUUUAAUGUCUGGAUAAGAUAUAAGGACCUAUUGGAAAACAAAACCCCAAGGUGGCUGUCACCGAUGGAAGCGAAAGCUCAGAAAAAGCUCAAUAUGGAGGCCAAAUGGCCGAAAUAUUGGGAAAUUCUGGAACAAGAGGGAGAUAGAUUGAAACUGCAGAGUUUUGAGAAACUAAAAAAAAGUGCGAGAUUGACUUCAUUAUUAUCAGAUAAUGGAGGCAUACAAUUUGGACAAGAAAAUUGGCUUCCAGGUGGAAAAAUCAAAAUUAGAAACAGAACUGUUAGAACCCAAAACUAAGAUUUUGUCAAAGAUGUAUAACUUGCUGUUGAAAUGGAAUACUCAGGAUGAAACGGUGAAAUCUGCUAUGAUUAAAUGGGCACAAGAUGUUGGACAUAACAUAAUGAUGGCUGACUGGGAACAGUUAUGGACCACAGGUAUGAAGUUUACGGCAUGUAAUGCCUUAAGAGAGAAUAUUAUGAAAAUGAUAUACAGGUGGUACAUGACACCAGUCAAGCUCGCAAAAAUCUAUCAUUUGCCCGAUAAUAAAUGUUGGAAAUGUAAAGAAACUGAAGGUACAUUCUUUCACCUUUGGUGGACAUGCCCAAGGAUUAAGGCUUUCUGGGAGAUGAUCUAUAAUGAAAUGAAAAAGGUAUAUAAAUAUACCUUCCUGAAGAAACCAGAGGCCUUUCUCCUGGGCAUGGUCGGCCAAUUGGUGGCAAAGAAGGACAGAACUUUCUUUAUGUAUGCUACAACAGCAGCAAGAAUACUUAUUGCAAAGUAUUGGAAGACACAAGAUUUACCCACUCUGGAAGAAUGGCAGAUGAAGGUGAUGGACUAUAUGGAACUGGCGGAAAUGACUGGCAGAAUCCGAGACCAGGGAGAAGAGUCGGUGGAAGAAGAUUGGAAGAAAUUUAAAGACUAUUUACAGAAAUACUGCAAAAUUAAUGAAUGUUAGAAUGAUGUCAGAAUGAAGUUAAGUGGCUUUAGCAGUAAUGUUAUAAAGGUGUAUGUAAAAAUGGAUUGUUAACAGGUGAAAAUCCAAAGUUAUAAUAUAUUAAGUUAAAGGAUUAAGACAAAAACAAAGAGGGAAAGGAAUUGCUGAAUUAACUAACAGAACUGGAAUACAAAAAAGGGAGGUGUGAGGAGGUCAGGGAAGUAAGGAAAUGAAAUGUAAGGCAUGGAAAGACUGAUGUGUUUUUUAAGUGUUUUUUAUCUUUUUUGUAUUUUGUAUUUUUUUUCCCUUUUUGUGUCGUUUUCUUUUUUUUCUCUUUUUAUUUAUGUAAUCCUUUCUUUGAAACUUUAAUAAAUAUCAUUU